GACGAACGCUGGCGGCGUGCUUAACACAUGCAAGUCGAACGGAAAGGCCCUGCUUUUGUGGGGUGCUCGAGUGGCGAACGGGUGAGUAACACGUGAGUAACCUGCCCUUGACUUUGGGAUAACUUCAGGAAACUGGGGCUAAUACCGGAUAGGAGCUCCUGCUGCAUGGUGGGGGUUGGAAAGUUUCGGCGGUUGGGGAUGGACUCGCAGCUUAUCAGCUUGUUGGUGGGGUAGUGGCUUACCAAGGCUUUGACGGGUAGCCGGCCUGGGAGGGUGACCGGCCACAUUGGGACUGAGAGACGGACCAGACUCCUACGGGAGGCAGCAGUGGGGAAUAUUGCACAAUGGGCGGAAGCCUGAUGCAGCAACGCCGCGUGCGGGAUGACGGCCUUCGGGUUGUAAACCGCUUUCGCCUGUGACGAAGCGUGAGUGACGGUAAUGGGUAAAGAAGCACCGGCUAACUACGUG
rnacentral:rRNA from 1 species